GGCCGUGUGGCCCAAUGGCAAGGCGCUUGACUACGACUUCGAUGUAAUCAAGAGAUUCCAGGUUCGACCCCUGGCACGGUCA
rnacentral:tRNA from 1 species